rnacentral:pre_miRNA from 1 species
CAACGGAAUCCCAAAAGCAGCUGUUCUUUUCUUAGCAUUCCAGCUGCGCUUGGAUUUCGUUUCC